rnacentral:rRNA from 1 species
CAAUGCUUUGUUUUAAUUAAACUGUCAGAUUCCCCUAGUCGGCAGGUGUGCUCGGCAGGUGCGAGCUUAACAGUUGGCUACCACAUCUAAGGAAGGCAGCAGGCGCGCAAAUUACCCAAUUUUGGACCAAAGAGGUAGUGACAAAAAAUAACGAUACGGUACGAUAUGUGUUGUGAUUGGAAUGGAAUGAUCAUAAAGUAUUUUUUGAGGAGCAAGUGGAGGGCAAGUCUGGUGCCAGCAGCCGCGGUAAUACCAGCCUUCACAAGCAUAUACAAAUGUUGCUGCGUUUAAAAAGCUCGUAGUUGAAUUUGUUCAGAAGUCCUCCGAUUCGUUAGUAAACGUUAGAAGUGACUUGACUGAUCAUGUUUUCGAGUUUACUUGCGCUUAACUGUGUUGAGUAAAUGAGAGAAACAGUUUACUUUGAGAAAAUUUGAGUGUUCAAAGCAUCCUUUGGGUAUGAAUGCCGUAGCAUGGAAUAAUAGAAAAUGACUCCAUACUUAUGUUGGUUUUUGGUAUAGACGUAAUGAUUAAAAAGGACAGGCGGGGACAUUCGAAUUGCUGCGUUAGAGGUGAAAUUCUUGGAUCGUAGCAAGACGUACCAAUGCGAAGGCAUUUGUCAAGAAUGUUUUCAUUAAUCAAGAACGAUAGUCAGAGUAUUGAAGAGGAUUAGAUACCCUCGUAAUUCUAACUGUAAACGUUACAUGCUUAAGAUCCGUUACUUUUCGAAUAGACUUAACGGGAAGUUACCCGGUAAACCAAAGCUAGUAGGUUACGGGGGAAGUAUGGUUGCAAAAUCGAAACUUAAAGGAAUUGACGGAAGGGCACCACCAGGAGUGGAGCUUGCGGCUUAAUUUGACUCAACACGGGAAAACUUACCAGAACCAGACAUGGCUAGGAUUCACAUGCGAUUUUUUUCUGAUGAUUUCAUGGGUGGUGGUGCAUGGCCGUUCUUAGUUAGUGGAGUGAUCUGUCUGGUUGAUUCCGAUAACGAACGAGAUUUUAUCCUUCUUAAUAGAGUAUUGCAAACAUGUGCAGUUUUCUUCUUAGAGGAACUAUGCGGAAUUUUUACCGUAAGGAAGUUGGGUCAUAACAGGUCUGUGAUGCCCUUAGAUGUUCUGGGCUGCACG